rnacentral:rRNA from 1 species
AUUGAACGCUAGCGGGAUGCCUUACACAUGCAAGUCGAACGGAGUGGCGAACGGGUGAGUAAUGUAUCGGAACGUGCCCAGUAGCGGGGGAUAACUACGCGAAAGCGUAGCUAAGAACGCAUACUAUUGGAGCGGCCGAUAUGGGAUUGGCUAGUUGGUGUGGUAACGGCUCACCAAGGCGACGAUCAUUAGCUGGGUUGAGAGGACGACCGGCCACACGGGGACUGAGACACGGCCCAGACUCCUACGGGAGGCAGCAGUGGGGAAUUUUGGGCAAUGGGCGAAACCCUGACCGAGCCAUCCCGCGUGUUCGAUGAAGGCCUUCGGUUUGUAAAGCACUUUUGGCAGGGAAGCGGUACCUGCAGAAUAAGCACCGGCUAACUACGUGCCAGCAGCCGCGGUAAUAC